GCAUCUAUAGCUCAGUAGGAUAGAGCGCUCCCCUCCUAAGGGAGAGGUCAUUGGUUCGAUUCCAAUUAGGUGCACCA
rnacentral:tRNA from 1 species